CCCAGAGCUGUGUCUAAGUUGGAUAUGUAAACACACUGUGAGAAGACUGGAUGCUUACGGAAAGAUGGGAAAUUCUCACGUGAAACUGCACAGCUUGGUCUCACUGCUAUUUUAAAUUAAUUUCAACAGCUAGAAAGCAUGAGGAAAAGUGGUUAUUUUCAAAGGAGAAGGAGGUAUCUCUGUGAUUUGUUUUUUGGGUCCCAGACCAGCUUUCUUAGGUGACAGAUUUGCCACUGGAGAGCUAGCACCCUGAGAUAAAUUUUGUUCAAUGAAUAGCCAUAUUUAAACUUAGAGUAAGGCCCCUUUAGGCUUUAAAAGAAUCACUAGCAAGAGGGGCUGCCUAACAUUGGAAGGGCCCAGUCCUGAGUAAGAACUGUCUUGAGUGACAUGUUGCUCCUAACUCAGAGGCCUAGAGUAUGGGGGUGUGGGGGUGCCCCCUUUUUCUUGUAGGAGCCAGUUCUCUAGGGAAAUACCCAACGGUCAUUGCCAGUUAGCAUCCCAAUCCAAAAUGCUCCAAAAUCUGAAAUGUUUCAAAAUGCAUACUUUUUGAGCACUGAUGUAAGCCCCGAGUGGAAAUUUCUACACCCAACCUACUGUGACAACUUACAGUCAAUGCAGGCACACAGAAAACAAUUUAUUCAGUAUUCCUAAGGGGGGUGGGGAAAGAGGGCUGGGGUUGUGGCUCAGUGGUAGAGCACUUGCCUAGCAAUUGCAAGGCCCUGGGUUCGAUCCUCAACACCACUUAAAAAUAAAUAAAUAUUGUGUCCAACUACAACUAAAAAAUAAAUAUCAAAAAAAUAGACUAUCCUAGAUCUUCCAACUUUGUUACACAAACUGUUUCUCAUGC
rnacentral:lncRNA from 1 species